AGGGAUAAAUAUUCAGUACCUGUUAUUAACUGAUAAAGUCAUACAUAUGUAUGGAUCUAUUUUAUGUGAUAAUUAGAGAAUCUAGUUUUAGCAUCUGCUUUUACCUGAUAAACCAACUUUAUUAUUUUAAAUAAAAGAAAGGCAAUAAUUCACAAGCUAUGGGCAUCAGGAAGAUGCAAAACAAAGCUGUCAAAGAGGAGGAAGGAUAGGAGGACAACAUUUUAGAUGGAUACCCACUGCAGCAGGGUGGAGGAACAGAUCUGAGCUUCAGAUUGUUUAUUUGGCUGCCGAUAAGCCUAGCCUGUGGCCAGCUGAGAUCAGGUCCUCAGGAUCCAUCAGCACAAGAGGACUUAUGGUGACCUUCUGAGGAUCACUGACAUCAGUCACCACUGAAGCACAUACUUCUCCUUCCCUUUAUUCCCUGCCAAAAAUACCAUGGCCAAGGGACACAGGAGACAGGAAGACAGCUCAGGUAGCUUUUGGAAAGUUUCAUCACAGUGC
rnacentral:lncRNA from 1 species